CGGGGCAGGCGGCGCUCGUGGCCCGCCCAAGGUCACGGGUGGUGGUGCCGAGUCAGGAAGCGCUCGGCCGACUGGCUGCCAGGCGGCUGGCCCGGGCGGCCCCGGCGUGGUUGUUCGGAACAAACUGUUUUGGCCAGCCUGUAAAAUCCCUGGAAAUCGACUAUUCCAGCAAAGCGUCGUGAACUAGGAAAGCACCCAAUGUUCUGCUCAAGACAUUUGGAGCUGCGGGACAAACAAGCUAGACCUGAGGCAGAGCCCAGGACCGGGGCACAGUUGCAGGAGGAAGUUCAACGGCCGGGAGGGAUCAGGCCGUGGAGGAGUGAGGCGCAGGCCGGCCCGGGGCUCCUUCCGCAGCAGCAGCAGCAGCAGCAGCAAAACACCCUCCUCACAGCUGAUCCCUCCCGGGGACUUCAGCUCAAAAGAACAGAGUUACUAAGACAGAAAGUGCUUCUGAACUUUGGUCGUCAGCAGUGGCCCUACUGAAAAGUACAAGUGAUGUUUAAGGGCUUACAGGAGCCGCCGUUAGAACGGAGCGACACAGGUCCCUUCUGUGUUUCCCCAGACUUGCUGACCAGAGAAAUCACCUGGAGUGAUUAUUUUGAAAGAUUCCCAGGCGGCUCCCCUGCUCCGCUGCAGGUGCUUUUGGUCGGUCUGGGGUGGAGCUCAGGAACCUGUUUUAUUUUUUUUUAUUUUUUUUAAGAUUUUAUUUAUUCAUGAGAGGCCCAGGGAGGCAGAGACACAAGCAGAGGGAGAAGCAGGCUCCAUGCAGGGAGCCUGACGUGGGACUCGAUCCCGGGACCCCCGGAUCACGCCCCGAGCCAAAGGCAGACACUCAGCCGCAGAACCACCGAGGUGCCCCAGGAACCUGUAUUUUUAAGUAGUUCUCCAGGUGCAACCCUGUGGACUCUUAACUACAGUCAACCCUCAUUAUCAGCUAAUAAUAUGUGCAAGAUUCCCUCGGAGAGCAGCUGUGAUGUGAAGUUCUGCACCAUUUUCCCUCAUCCAUAGCUAAGGAUCAAAAUGAUAACAGGUUCACAGCAAGAUGAGGGUACAGAGUUCACACGAAACUGUGUCCAUCGUGCUGCACGCAUUCCUGACCCAGAGCGGAUGCUUAGCAAAUGUCUGGUGAAUGAGUGAAUGCGCGGAUGAUGUCCUUAAGGACAGCAGACAAAGGAAUUCUUAAGUUUUUACAGCACCAGGCCCCAGAACAAACUUCUCCCAGGAUGCAAAAAUGUGCCUUUGGAUUCAACUGGUGUUUGAAGUUCUUCAUGUUAAAGGGAGUCAGUGAGGUUGUUCUAGAGAGCUGCUGUAGAAGUGGAUGGGAAGUAAAGGAGGAGGGAGAUGCUGACUCAUUCCCUGGAGCUGAAAAAAAUACACAAUAUGCACCAGACAAUGGGGAGAAACCAUCCAUCCGCCCAUGGAAAUCAGUGAGACAAAAGAGGCCUGGGAGGUCCCCUCCCUUCCCUUCUGCGCCUGCUCUGGACCUCCGUCUAUUUGUUUUCCCCAAAGCUCUAUAUCUCGGGGCCUUUAUGUUUGGCUCCUCCCACUCUUGCUGAGAUAAUAAAACCAGGGGAGGAAUCUUGGGACAGGUUCCAGCUUGUGCUGUUCCAUGAGAGCUAGGGGAGGGCAUGAGGCAUCUGGAAGUUUACAGAGGUCGAGUGCAAAGUGUGGAGAAUUGGAACUUGGAAGGGGGAGGGGGCGGGCCAGGUGACGGCUGCUUGUUCUUAUAAGCCCUUCUGUAUUAUGUCCAUUUCUAAAAUUAUCUGCAUGAAUUACUUUGAUAGACUAAUAAAAAUACUCACUUUUCAAAACAAAUAAGAGGCGGCUGGAGAAAGCACUCCUGGGGCAUGCAGGGCAGUGGGAGGGAGUGCAUGAGUAAUCAUCACACUUUGGAGAAAAGCUGGUUGCAUGCUGGGUUUGGAUCUUGCAUGAGGCGGCCACUGCUCUGGCAGCCAGAUGAGCUGGGCCUGCAUGAACGGACUGAUUGGUCAGUGUUUCUGGAUUUGGCUCCACCCGGGCUCUCUGCUCCAUACCUUCAUCAUUACUUGCCCCCCAGCUCUGGUAGCUGCCAGCUCUGUAGCCCACUUACCUUCCUCAUGAUGGGUGCACUCACCUCCAGACCUCAAUUUCCUUUCCAAUAAUGUUUCAUUUCUUAUCCUAGGCCCCAAAGUCUUGAUGGUCCGCUGCUCAAGUAAUAACUUUCCUGACUUGCCUUGGUUUCCAGGCUGUCUAUUCCAGAUGCUUUCCCAUGAGGAAGCUCCCCUCCCUGGUCUGCCCCAGUCAUGAGGCAGUAUGUACACAGACAGAAGGGCCAGAGCAAGGGCUGAUGACAGACAGUAGGACAGAAGGACUCAAUCUCUGUAGCCAUACCAACCUUGCUUUCAAGGCCUGUCUCCUUCUGUGUCCUAGCUGUGUGAUGCUGUGUAAGUUACAUGAGCCUUCAUUUCUGAGCCUUCAUUUCUUCAUCUGCAUAUGGAUGAUACCAAGUGUACUUACUGCUUAAUAAAAGCUCAAUAUCACCAUGGCAGCAAGGAUGAAUUCACAUACAUUGUUCUUACACGUACAAAAACAACAAAGCAUAGCUCCUUUCCUCUCUAACUGGUCUGUCUUCACCAAAGAGCACCCUCCCUCCAUCACCUCUGCCCAAGUUGGCCAGCCUAGGGGCUAAGGACAAUUUCAGUCCCACCAGAUGAAUUUCCUUCAAUUCUAUAAAGAAAAGCAUUCCUUUAGGUAAAUUCUUUGUCUCUGUUGGAUAAAGUGCUCAGUUUUUCAGAUUUCUGCUUUUUCCCCUCUUUCUUUCCAAGAUGGCAUCUGAAGGUGAAACUUAGGUGAUCCCAUGGUGGCAGAGGGCGGUUGGGGGUCUUUGGUGUCCUCUGGAUGCUUGCUGAUCUCUGCCACGUCAUGGCUGGUCUGGGCUGCUUCCUGCAUGGGGAUCACUGAGGCGGACUGGUGCUACUCCAGGGUGUUCUGCUGGUGUCUGAGUCUAAAGCCUGUAGCUGGUGUAACUCAUGGACCAUCUCCGUUCUUGUUGACUUGGUCCUGCCUUCUUGGCAAUGCACAGGUCCGGCGGGACUGCUCUAGUUUCUCUUGCAGGCAGUCUACCCUGCGGUGUGGACCACAGGCAAUGGUGUGUUGCAAAAACAAUUAGCAGUUAGUCUUGGGUGGGAGGGGCCCUGAGUGGUAGUAUUUGCAGACUUCUAUAGUUUAAAUACCUUGGCAUAUCAAGCUACUAAGAUGAUGUCGACGAAUGCGGAGUUGGGGAGAGACCUGCCAUACAGAUACAAUAGUAAUAGUAAAUAGUAAAUAAUCUCAAGAGCAAGAUAAUAGUAAGAUGCAGCAAAAUAACUAUGGAGUGAUCGUUUUGAAUAUUGCAUUACCUUUAUGUUUAAUAGGACCUAUUUAAUUGUAAGGUCGAACAAUUUAAUUUUUAAUAACUUCUGUGUUCAGCAACUGAUUUGAAAUUUCUGACAAUGCAACAGUGAGCUCUCUGCCCAGUGAGCCAGCUCUGGUCCACCACUGGCGGGUUACCUCAUCUGCUUCAUCAAGAGAGCUGCCAACAAGCUCCCAGUCAAGCCUUCAACUGAGUUCCAUACUCCCUUUCUGGGGCAGCUUGGGAGAGCUAAAUUUAGGCCCACCCUCUGCUAUCCACACGCUGAUGCCGAAGCAACCGAUGACACAAUAUCUUCCCGAACACUAAAAAGGAAGCAGGGUAGAAGCUCCUCUGCCCAUGGCAUUAAACUUGACCCACAUAACUCACUUCCCUGUGGCAGAAUCAGUCAGACAAGCCGACUGUCAAAUUCCCCUAGACUCUUGAAGCAAAUCCACGCAAUGGCCAAUUCCCAGAAACUCACUUGACCAAAUGAGAAAUUCAACAAAUUUAGUUUUAUUUUGUUUUAAUGGACUAGUUUUCCAAAUAGAAGUUUAAGGAAGAACGCUAAAACCUGGUCUCCUGCCAUAGCCUGAAGUAGGAGGCUAAGAGAGGCGGCUGUACUGUGUCUGUCCCGGAGCCCACCCUAACAACUCUUUCCUGCUGCUCAUCUCCUAGGCCCUCUUUCUUUGCUCUGGGUCACCCUUCCUUUUUCCAAAGUCUUAGUCACUUCCUUCUCCCCUUUGCAGAUUCCAUAGCUCAACCUCUUCUUAGGAGCUCUCAGGGAUUAUGAAGGAGAAUGCCACUGCUCUAGCUUUCCAUUGGAUGGCUGCUCCAACAGAACAACUAAAACAGAGAUUGGCAAAACGAAUGAGGCCACGGGAGCUCUGGAGAGGGAAGUCAGUACAAAGCAUUCCUCACAGCACUGGUCUGUUUAUAUCAUGAUCUCACAGACUCUUCUUAACCACUCAGGCAUUUUUAAACGUUGGGGUCAAGCAUCAGGGCUUACAGGUAUUGAGAAACCACUGCAGGCUUCAGUAGAGGACCGACAAGAUUUGAUCUGCUUUAGAAACUCAACUACAGUAGCAACAUCUGAAAAGAACCAAAAGGUGGAAUUUGUAAGCAGGGAACUUGUUUAAGGGUUCCUUAGAAGCCAGGCUAAAGGUGAUAGCCUGAAGUCCAGUCAUGGAAGUGAUAGAAGAGCCCUUUCCUGGGUACCCUGACUUGAUGGGCACUCCACCCCCCAUUUAUUUUCUCUCACUGCACCCUAUUUGUUUCCUUCCUAGGAAAUUUGUAAUGUUAUAUUUACCGUUCACUUAUCAUCUCCUCCUCCACUAGAUUGUAAGCUCUGUGGAGCCAGGCCUGCCUCAUGCCCGAAAGUAUUCUUCACUGGUGCAGUGUUGGGUUCCUGGUAGGUGCUCCACAAAUGUCUGUGGAGGAAGGAAUGCCACUGGGAAGAAAGGAAGGUUGGUGGGGGAAGCUUAGCUAUGUUUUCAGGUAAGGGAAAGGUGCUCUUGGAGAAGGAGGAGUAGAAAACAGAGAUUGAGAGAGAUGACACAGAUUCCAGAAAAACAGGACAAGAAGUGAAAGUAGAGGCGUUAGCUUUGCCUGAGAGGAGGGGUAGGCUUCUGACAUGGGAGGAAAGGAAGAAUGGGUGAGUGUUGGUUGGAUUUAUGAGAGCAGUGGUCUGUGUUUCCUGGAGAAAUAGUAGGCAUGAUUACCAGCUGUGUGUGAGAGAGAGAGAAAGAGAGAGAGAGAAAAGAGGAAGAAGAAGAGGAAGAGAAAGAAGGAGGAGGAGGAAGAGAAAAGAGAGGGCAAAAAGAGGAGAGGAGGAGAAAGAGGAAAGGGGAUUGAGAGUUUCAGGAGGUGAUGAGAAGUUUUAACAGAAUGUUUCAACGAAAAGAAUAAUGCAAUGGCCAAAAAAUGCCUAAAAAGAUUUCUGAGGGAGGGUCCCACUGAGAAAUAAUGUGACCAAAUUAGCCUUGCCCCAAGUCUCCUACGUGGGAGGCAGGGCAGUAGAAUGGGGAGACGGAAGGGUUGGCUGUGGUAGGGAUCUGCAGGAUGCCAUCUCUCUUCCUAGUUGAUCUUGUGUCUAGCUCCAACAAAGGGAAACAUUUCAUGACUCCUGGGAUGGGUUCAGAUGAAUCAUUCAUCUCUCCAGAUAUUAAAAGUUUUGAAUGUGUGAGAUAGGACACGGACAUCAGAAAGAGGCUCUCAGCAGUCUGCUUCUCUGGAGAAGGCCUCACCCAGGGGCUGGAGCCUGCCUUGUCCUGCUGUAUCCUAGAUCUGUGGGUUAACUUGCCUGCCCUUGGCUAUAACUUCCUCUGGCAGGAAGGCAGCUUUUAUCUUAGAAAUCUUACUGAUAUCCAAACAUCCCUUGCCUUUAGGUGACCGCCUCCUAAAAGAGAAAGUACAUCUGUUUAGACUUUGAUAGACCUGGGUUUGAUUCCGGGCUCUCACGCAUGAAGCUCUGUGAUCUUGAAUAAAUUGCCUACCUUUUCAAGCCUCCAUCGUUCAGAGGAAAAAAGGGGAAGUCACUGGAAAGGCAGAAGGUUGAAAUAAGAUAAUGUAAAUAAUCCAGCAGAAUGGACAGGCACAAGCUGGAUUUAUUUUUAAAUUUCAUCUGAAAGAAGCUGAAACUGGAGAUUAAAGUUGAUGCUUUAUGCAAGAAAGUAACAGCACUCCAAUCAGACUGUAAGACAAUGUUACACAACAGAAGACUGAUGAAUGGACAAGGAAAUGAUUGAAGCAAAAUUAUUUAGUUUCUGACCCUCUCAUACUACAUCCGUAUUUGGUAUUGAAGACUUAAAAGUCCCUUUCUUCCCUUCUCACUUAAUUGUUGUUUAAAUGCUUCCACUUUCCAAUGCCUUUCAUGAAGAUGGCACUAAGGGGGAAGAAGGAAGCCCCUGCCCCUCCCAAAGCUGAAGCCAAAGCAGAGGUUUUGAAAGCCAAGAGAACGGUGUGCUGAAAGGCAUCCACAGUCACAAAAAGUAAAAAAAAAAAAAAGAAGAAGAUCCACACAUCACCUGCAUUCCAAAGACGCAAGACACACUGCGUCUUUCAAGGCAGCCCAAAUAUCAUCUAAAGAGCACCCCCAGGAGAAAUAAGCCUGACCACUAUGCCAUCAUCAGUUUCCCCCUGACUGUCAAGUCAGCCAUGAAGAAAAUAAGAGACAACAACACACUUGUAUUCCUUGUAGAUGUCAAGACCAACAAGCACCAGAUCAAAGAGGCUGUGAAGAAGCCCUAGGACAUUGAUGUAGCCAAGAUCAACAACCCGAUCAGGCCUGAUGGAGAGAGGACGACAAAUGUUUGACUGGCUUCUGACUCUGAUGCUUUGGAUAUUGCCCACAAAAUUGGGAUCAUCUAAGCCGAGUCCAGCGGCUAAAUCUAAAUAUAAAUUUUUUCACCAUAAAAAAAAACCCUUAAAACAAAACCCAUGCUUCCAGUUUUCAUAACUCUAUGCACACAAUAAUAGUCAUAUCACAAUAUAAAUUAUAUUGUAAUAAUAAUUAUGAAAUUAUUUAGAUCUACUGAGCCUGUACUAAGGUCUGAUUCAGGAGCUACAGAUAUAUUUUCACUGAUCUUCACACCAGCCUUGUAAGGGAGUAUUUAGACCUUAGUGAAUUCACCUUGUGUUCUUUACCAUGUAUGUUUUCUUCUAACUGGCCAUGUCACAAUCACUGGAAGCACUUGGUGACAGAUGGACCCAACUCCUGAAGUCCUAUGGACAAUUGUAUUUUAACCAACAUCCAAGGGAAAAUUCUGGACACUCAAGUUUGGGAGCCUGGGUAGGUAUUGAGGCUGAACAUGUCAUAAAGGACAGGACACACUGAAUUUGAAGUGAUGACUGCUAUUGUAGCACAUGGCAGUUAUCACUAGGCAGCUUUUUACUUAUUACAAUGAAAGUUAACCUUCUUGGCAAGUCACAUUCUUCUUUUCCUGCCUCUAGCAUUUGACAUCUAUACUAAAGGUAUCUAUCUACAAAUAAAACCAAACUCCAUCUUAGAGAUUCUAGCCAGCAGCUACUAUUUAAGGAGACCUUUGUUCUUUUGGGCCAGAUGGUGCAGUCUAGAUCUAAGUCAAUUUAAUUCUAUUUGGUAAAGAAUAAGGGACCAAAUCAUUUGGUUAGUGCAUCUGGAAACAAACAAACAAACAAAAAAUUACAAAGGGUAUCAGAAAAAAGUAAAGUAAAGUAAGCAUCUCAAUAUGCAUCAAGAAAAUGACUAGCUUUCCUAAAAUUUCUCAUUUAUUCAAGUAAAAGAAUAUUGCAUGUCUCAAAAGUCAGAUAUGUAAAAUUACAUAGAAUCAUAUCACCAUAGUCAAAUCAGAGGAUGAAUGAAGCAAUUGUUGAGAUGUGGGGUUGACAGACUGGUCCACAAACCAAAUCUUUCCUGCUACCCUUUUUUUUUAUAAAUAAAGUUUUAUUGGAUAACA